rnacentral:misc_RNA from 1 species
CAUUUCUGCCUGUCCAUUUAAGAAGAUUGCAAUCAUCUUUGCAAACCAUAGUAUUCUGGCUGCUUCAAAGAAUGCAACAACACUUCAUAUAAUAGACUUUGGUAUAUUAUAUGGUUUCCAGUGGCCUGCUCUCAUUUAUCGCCUCUCAAAAAGAGCUGAUGGGCCUCCCAAGCUGCGAAUUACAGGGAUAGAGCUUCCACAAAGUGGUUUCCGGCCUGCAGAGAGAGUUCAGGAGACUGGCCGCCGCUUGGCAAAAUACUGUGAGCGCCAUAAUGUUCCGUUCGAGUACAAUGCCAUAGCAAAGAAAUGGGAAACUAUCCAAAUUGAUGACCUCAAGAUUAAUGGUGGUGAAGUUGUUGCUGUGAAUUGUCUUUUCCGAUUUAAGAACCUGCUUGAUGAGACAGUUGUGGUUAACAGUCCCAGGAAUCCCAGGAACACUGUUCUAAACUUAAUCAGCAAGAUAAAUCCAGAUAUAUUUAUCCAUGCCAUUGUUAAUGGGUCCUAUAGUGCUCCAUUUUUUGUCACAAGGUUCCGGGAGGCUCU